rnacentral:rRNA from 2 species
AAUGCAUGCAAGUCGAACGGGAACCUUUCCACUCGUCUGAAGGUGAGAGUGGCGAACGGGUGAGUAACACGUUGGUGACCUACCCCACAGAGGGGGAUAACCAUUGGAAACGAUGGCUAAUACCCCAGAUGUCAUUACUGUUAGAGGGUAAUGACUAAAGCUCCGGCGCUCUGGGAGGGGCCUGCGGCCCAUCAACUGGUUGGCAGUGGUAAUGGCCUACCAAGGCAAAAACUGGUAUGGGGCGUGAGAGCGUGACCCCCCACACUGGUACUGACACACGGACCNUAUACCUACCGGUAGCAGCAGAAGGAAUAUUGCCCAAUGGACGCAAGUUCUGAGGCACCAACGCCCUGUGGAGGAUGAANGCCUUCGGUUGUAAACUCCCUCUCUGGGGGAACAAAAACGACGGUUCCCCCNCNAAUAAGUCUGGGUAACUUCCUUCCACCACCCCGCUGUAAAACGAUGAGGC